AUUGAACGCUGGCGGCAUGCUUUACACAUGCAAGUCGAACGGUAACAGGCCUUCGGGUGCUGACGAGUGGCGCACGGGUGAGUAAUGCAUCGGAACGUGCCCAGAGGUGGGGGAUAACGCAGCGAAAGCUGUGCUAAUACCGCAUGUGAUCUGAGGAUGAAAGCGGGGGACCAAGCAGCAAUGUUUGGCCUCGCGCCUCUGGAGCGGCCGAUGUCAGAUUAGGUAGUUGGUGGGGUAAAGGCCUACCAAGCCGACGAUCUGUAGCUGGUCUGAGAGGACGAACAGCCACACUGGGACUGAGACACGGCCCAGACUCCUACGGGAGGCAGCAGCGGGGAAUUUUGGACAAUGGGCGCAAGCCUGAUCCAGCAAUGCCGCGUGCGGGAAGAAGGCCUUCGGGUUGUAAACCGCUUUUGUACGGAACGAAAAGGCUCUGGCUAAUACCUGGGGCUGAUGACGGUACCGUAAGAAUAAGCACCGGCUAACUACGUG
rnacentral:rRNA from 1 species